AGUGAACGCUGGCGGUAGGCCUAACACAUGCAAGUCGUACGGCAGCACAGUAAGAGCUUGCUCUUACGGGUGGCGAGUGGCGGACGGGUGAGGAAUACAUCGGAAUCUACUUUUUCGUGGGGGAUAACGUAGGGAAACUUACGCUAAUACCGCAUACGACCUACGGGUGAAAGCAGGGGAUCUUCGGACCUUGUGCGAUUGAAUGAGCCGAUGUCGGAUUAGCUAGUUGGCGGGGUAAAGGCCCACCAAGGCGACGAUCCGUAGCUGGUCUGAGAGGAUGAUCAGCCACACUGGAACUGAGACACGGUCCAGACUCCUACGGGAGGCAGCAGUGGGGAAUAUUGGACAAUGGGCGCAAGCCUGAUCCAGCCAUACCGCGUGGGUGAAGAAGGCCUUCGGGUUGUAAAGCCCUUUUGUUGGGAAAGAAAAGCAGCAGGUUAAUACCCCGCUGUUCUGACGGUACCCAAAGAAUAAGCACCGGCUAACUUCGUG
rnacentral:rRNA from 1 species